UAUUCCAAGAGUUCUCUUCUUAAGAUGCAAAGUGGGGUGGGUCCUUACAACCUCACUGUCUUGUGCAUGCUGAUCUGCAGGGGCACCUCAAGCAUAGAAAGAACACCCAGAACCCAACAAUUGAAGCAGAGUGUUCUCUUGCCUGCUAUCUACUGAACAUCUUGGCCAUAAACCUUAGCUUAUCAAACCGAUUUCCCUUUGGGUAGUGGGAAACGUGAGAUCAUCCCCUACCCCUCCCUUCUUUCCCAAGUCUCCCCUCUCUUCCCUCUUGAACCUGGAGCUCCAGCCCCCACAAGGUGGGGCAGUGGCAUAUAUACAGAACUUCCUUCUCCCAUCCUGGACUGCAUUCUGAAGGCUGCAGAAGAGAUGGCAAGAUGAAAGCUUUGCUAUUUGCGUUGUUGUUGGUGGCAUUUGUGUGCAAGGACGCAGUAAAGAGUCUGAAAUGUUACCAGACUGUCCCAUUAUUGUCUGAUAGAGAAAUAACAUGUCCGGAAACAGAUAGAUUCUGUUAUAUUCUGCAGUCUGUUCAUGGAGGGCCCCGGUAUAAAGGAUGUAAUCCAGUGUGCAAUGAAGGGAUCCAGUUGGUGGAGAUUAAGUGUUGCACCACUGACCUUUGCAAUGUUUAAAAUUUUGUUUGGGGUUUUGCUGUCAUCCAUCAUGGACCAUCCUGGCAGAUUUAAAUUUGUGGCCUUUACGGUCCAUAAUUCACCCCCUCGGCUUCUUUGGACACAUCGUCCUCUCUUCUUUUUCUCCUGGUCUACAAGACUUGUUCUGCUCUCUCUGUAGCUUGGCAACUGAAUAAAUUUGUGCAUUUAUAUUCAA